CGGCGAUAAAAGUAUAAGCAAAUUUGCAUUAAACUCACCAUGGAAAGAAGUUUCAUAUCCCAUUCUAACUAAAUGUUUCUCUAUAUUUGAUAUUUCUGCAAAUCCACAUGCAUAAGUAAGGUUCUGAAUAAAGAACAACGAAAAAGAGAGGAUUUUUGGUUUCGAUUAAAUGGGUAUCGUUUCUCUAAACUAGAAGCGAAAAAUAUCUCUGUAGAUACCUAAUAAAUGGGUUUUUAUGGUAGUUAAGGAAAAA
rnacentral:lncRNA from 1 species